rnacentral:piRNA from 1 species
UACCCUUGCUCCGAUUAGGGCUGUGAGUGUU